ensembl:lncRNA
GGAUUUUCUGCCAGCAGCCUCACUCACUGGUGUCUCUGAGAACUGAGUCGUGUCCCAAGAUUGAUGAACAUAGGUGCUGGAUUCUCCUCCUGCUGCUGAUCAUCACUCAGGGCCCAGAAAGAAAUUUCAAGGAGGUGCAUGUGAAGACCAGUCCUCUCCUCCCACCAUGUGGAUCCUGGAAAUCAAACUCAGGACACCGGAGUGGUGUCUGUAGGGACUUGCUCUGUGAAGGCUGCUGGUACUCCCACACACCGCGGACACCACUGUGGGAACGGAACGUCAGACUUACAUAAAUAGAUGACAAAUGAAGGGAGCACAUGCCUUACAGUGACCUGUCUAUCGAUAAAUCAACACCACCACCACCCAGCAUGUCGUUUGCAAGGGCAGAAGGCAGAAUGGCUUCGGUUACAGCCAGAGGUUUGCUGGCUUUUCAUUUGUCACCUUUUCCUCAGGAUGGCAGAGUACUCUUUAUUUUGCGGAAGUCCUCACUGACCAGAUUCUGUCUCCACAGAACUUAGUCAGGAAGAACAGGUUCCACCAAGCAUCAGUCGAGACAAGGCCACCUUCUGAAUUCUCAUCCCAAAGCUGGCAGCCCUCUCUGCUGACUUUCUCUCCUCAGCUCAUCUGUCCCAUGCCUUCCUCCCCCAUCACCGUAAUUAUGGCUGAAUUACUUAGCAGCCCCAUUUUGAAUUGCAAUCCUGUACACCUGAGGAAAAAAGACAGACUCCAGGCCUGGGGUGGAAAGUAAUUCCUGCCUCAGGGUUGGCCUGGGUAGUCCUGAUUCGCUCAUUAAUCAAGGUUUCUCAAUCUCCGCUCGGUUGACACUUUAGCCCAGGCAAUUAUCCUCGGGCUCACCGAUGUAUGGCACAGUAGCUGCAGCCCCAGCCUUCAUGCGCUACACACUAAUAAUGUGACUCUGCUCUCCUCAGGCAGUAUAAAAAAUAUCUCUGCACACACUGCCAGCGUCCUCCAGAGAGGCAAAGAUCAUCCCUGCCUGAGGCCCCUGGGCCAGAAAGAAUAGGAUUCUCUCAUUAUUCUCCAGAACUUUCUGCCUGGUGCUCCGCGGGACUGGGAGUAUGUAAGUCAGUAAGCAGCUGCAGUAGGACAAUGUUGGUGAGCUGGAGGACAAAGCCAGAUUCCAGAGCCUGAUCCACACUGGCCUGAGCAGUACCCAGCGUUGAAGCCAAAGUCCCUUGGCCCUUCUCUCUCAGAGAUCUGAAGUGAGGCCUAGAGGUGAUAAAUCAGGCCCAGCAUAUGGAAGUAACCAGAGUUUAUUUAUCACAUAACUGGAGUUACAGACAAUUGUAAGCUGCCAUGGGAGUGCUGGGAAUUGAACCCAAGUCCUCUGGAAGAUCAGUCCAUGCUCAUAUCCACUGAGCCAUCUCUCCAGCCCCUUGUCAUAGACCUUAAUGACCUUCAGCACAAGACUGGGACUGUUGAGGCAUACAGCGUCACUGAGCAGAUUCUGGGCUUGUCGUCUCUCCAGGGUACAGUCUUCAACUUACUUCCCUGUCCUAGACGUAAGCCAAUCUAGUGAAUUUUCUUUAAUCACACACACACACACACACACACACACACACACACACACACACACACACGUCCAUUCUUUCCCUCUGGAGAACCUUCAAUAUUAUCAUUUGUAUUUGGAGCUACUUAGCCUGAAGGUCUGCUGUACAGCAAUGUGUUUUGUGGACUUCACCACACCCCAGGAGAGUGGAAAACAUGCCCAAAGCCCAGACAUCACUUGCUUGUGAUCUCUUUAUCUGAAGAAAUGGUAUCAGAAAUGAUUACUCACUAAGGUGUUGCUUUAUCCAAGACAGAGGUAUGUUAUUAUGCCCACUCAAGCUUCCCACCCAACAAACGUGCAUGACCACGACUUUGUUAUAUAAACCUCCAAUUACAACUGUCUUUGAGUGUGUGCUUUAUUGUACAGAGAGACGGUAUUUCUUUAUUUUCUCAGAUAAAAGCAAGCUGGGAAAUGUUGCCUCUGUGACUUGGUAUUCAACAUGCUCAGAUGAGAUGUGGGCUGGGAAAGGAAGGGUUCAGUUCAUCACAGAUGAGGUAUUUUAAGGCUGUCUAUUAAACGGUCAUUGACAUUUGUAGAUUUGAAUCCAGUUUCAAUAAACAGACUGAUGGUUCUAUUACUAUGUUGUCACAUCUGUGCAGUGGACUGUGACAGGAUACAGCACUGGGCUGAUCCACCAGGACAUGAGAUUUCUUUGCACACUUAAGACAUCUUAUUUGCUAACUUCCAUGUCUUGGGGCCUUGCUGAGCCUUACUUUCUGAUCCUCUCUGCUUUGACUGGAGUGCACUUUAUUAUUGUUGUUGUUGUCACCAUAAUCAUUACCUGAGCUUAGAAAGAGGAAUUACACACCAUUCUUCCAUGGUAGCAUCUGUGAAAAUCCACUGGUCUCCAAGUGUGCUGGGCACCAUUCCCAAGUCUUGAGCAUACAGCCCCUCACUGCUUUUCAGGCUGAGAAUAAUGAGCCAGAAGGAAGUGUCACGGGAUCCUACAUUUUCACCUAAAGGUUAAUUAACCUGGAGAUAAUCUGUGCGAUGGUGCCAACCCCUUCCCGGCAGCGACGGGAAAGCAAAGCAGAUACCAAAUGCAUAUAGACCCUGCCCAUGCUUGGCGCAAGGCCACUGGGACUGAGAACUUUGGAUGGUGGCCUCAGCCUUCAAGAGAAUAGUAAUGUGGACAUUGAUGGAAUUCAGCACAGCUUGCAUUGUACUUGGAAUUUUCUAGCAAAUAAAAAGGGAGGAAAGUGGUUCUGAGUAAGGCCAUUAAUGGAACAGACGAUGUUUCUACAUUGCAUUGUGAAAAGGAACAGAGUCAGUGUCUGUUUACAUAUGGGUCCGGAUCCUCUCUUCCUUCAGGAUGUGCACUGAGGUGUGAAGGUUCUCUCUAGGAAAGUCACAGUUAAGACCCUUGAGUAAUACUAUAGAGCUUCCAAAUGUAUUUGCACACAGUUCUGGGGAAGGGCCAGAUUUCAAGAUUCUGAUGUCUGGGAUCACGGUGCCCCAGUUCCACAAGACAUCCUGCAUUGCCAGAAGUGAUAUGGAGGCAAGCUUGGUGCACCCAGUGAAGCUCAAGAAGAGAGAGAGAGUGGUCAGGGCCUCCGAGAGGAGCUCCUGUUGUCUGAAGAUGGUAUACUUCAAUGUGUGAUAGAAUUUGUGCAAGGACAAAUGAUGGACAAGCAAAUGAAUGAAUCGCAGUCUGCUCAUUUAACCCCUGACCCUAGUCUGCAAAAUGAAAAACUGGGAAGGUAAAUAAUUUGGAAAUUGUCCAUUGACAUCUUAGCAGUCCUCAAGCCUUAGCAGUCACAGUCACAAACUGUUAUGUAGAUCUCAUGACCUUGGGUGCUGGUUCGUGUGUCGGCUGCUCUCCUGUCUCUGCCUCUUUGCUCUGGUCAGCUCGCCGCAACAGUUGGGGGUACACCU